AUUAUUGGAGGUAGAGCACUGUUUGGACGAGGGGCCCCUCUCGGGUUACCGAAUUCAGACAAACUCCGAAUGCCAAUUAAUUUAACUUGGGAGUCAGAACAUGGGUGAUAAGGUCCGUGUUCGAAAGGGAAACAGCCCAGACCACCAGCUAAGGUCCCAAAAUAUAUGUUAAGUGGAAAAGGAUGUGGCGUUGCCCAGACAACUAGGAUGUUGGCUUAGAAGCAGCCAUCAUUUAAAGAGUGCGUAAUAGCUCACUAGUCGAGUGACACUGCGCCGAAAAUGUACCGGGGCUAAACAUAUUACCGAAGCUGUGGAUUGUCCUUUGGACAAUGGUAGGAGAGCGUUCUAAGGGCGUUGAAGCAUGAUCGUAAGGACAUGUGGAGCGCUUAGAAGUGAGAAUGCCGGUGUGAGUAGCGAAAGACGGGUGAGAAUCCCGUCCACCGAUUGACUAAGGUUUCCAGAGGAAGGCUCGUCCGCUCUGGGUUAGUCGGGUCCUAAGCUGAGGCCGACAGGCGUAGGCGAUGGAUAACAGGUUGAUAUUCCUGUACCACCUAUAAUCGUUUUAAUCGAUGGGGGGACGCAGUAGGAUAGGCGAAGCGUGCGAUUGGAUUGCACGUCUAAGCAGUAAGGCUGAGUAUUAGG
rnacentral:rRNA from 1 species